rnacentral:lncRNA from 1 species
GUUUUAUUUUAUCAAAUAAAUAUAUUUCCAAGCGUUUUGAAAAAUGUAUGCUAACGUAUUUUACUUUUGUAUAUGUUUACUUGAUUUUAUGCAUUUGUAUGUAUUAGAGCAGUAAGAUUAUUAUAUUUUGAAUUUGAGACUAAUAAAGCAAUAAAUAUUCGGGAGAAAUAAUAGUACGAUGCAUAUAAUAGUGGUAAUAAAUAACACUAGGACAGGGAUAUAAGAUUAUAAAAAUAUUAAUAAUACAAUGUGAAAUAGCAGUUUUAAAAUAAAUUGUUUUGAUGAUAUUUUAGCGGGUAUGGUGAAAUUAUAGUUUUUGUUUUUGUUCUUAGAUUUUUUUGUUUUUUUUUGUAAUUAUACAUGGAUAUAUUGGCGUUCUUAAAAGGGGAUCGAGACUAGCCAACUGUUAGCAGCUUACGUUUUAAGCUCAU